AUUGAAAACCAGAAGAUUUCUUCGCAAGGAAAGGAAGGCAAUCAAAAAAGGAAACAAAUGUCUUAGAUUGCAAGGAAAAAAGAUCUUAUUAUUUUCUUAGAAAAAUCAAUCAGGAAAGAAUUAGAAAUAGGGCGCAACUAUAAGCCAUCCGGGGGCACGCAACGUCGGCGAGACAAAUACUAGAUGUGUGCGUAUAUUGUGGCACAUGACGUGUAUUUUGGUCUAAAUCGGCCAUCACCUACCCAAAUACCUGUCAUAUGCCACAAUAUAUGCACACAACUAGUAUUCGCCUCGCCCGCGUGCCACUCGGAGAUAGUAUUUUGCCAGCUCGUGGGUGCUGACACACACGGCUGAUACAACCAUACUAGUUGCAUGCGUCCAGGGUUGCACGUUGCUGAUAAUUUCUAAACAAUUCCGGAUGGGGCCCACUUAGUGCUCGUGUCCGCAUUUCUCCCCUGCGCUACCAGUGAGAGCAUACUAGUAGCGUGGGCUUUUUUGACGCGCUGCUAAUAAUAGCAAUCAAGUGCUUAAAUUUAGGUCUCAUACUAGUAAGUAUGCCCCUAUAGCGUUUUCCAUACUAGCGUGCGCAACUCUGUCUUCCCGUGGAAUGCUAGGUUGUAUGGCACUGAGGCUUAAUAAUUUGUUCAUAUUCAUGUCAGGAUUGUGUUGGGACGAUUGAUGGCACUCAUGUUACUGCUAGAGUGCAAAUGAGGGAGGCUCAUGCAUACAGGAGAAGAAAUCACUACACUAGUCGAAAUGUGCUUGCCGCUGUCGACUUUGAUAUGAAGUUCACAUGUGUUAUGGGAAGGAUCAUCUCAUGAUGGAUCCAUUCUUGCUGAUAGCUUGGAGAGACUAGAUGGCUUCAAACUCCCGUACCUAGCUAAUGCUGGAUAUGCUUGCCGUCCUAGAAUUCCCCACCCUUUAUGUCAACAAGACAAUCAAGACUUAGAGUGACGAUCGAGAGGCCAUUCAGUGCUCUGAAGAACAAGUUUAAGAUCCUUGAUCGGAAGCCAUUCCAUCCUUUUCCCCACCCAAGACGAGAAUGAUGUGAGCACUAACGAUGUUGAUGUUGGCCAUGGUGUCGGUGUUACUGAUAACAAGGCUUGGAAGACCGAGAGACAGGAGUGGGCUGACACUAUGUAGGCUAAUAGAGACAACACUAGGAUCUGAAGAACUGAAGAUGUGCCGUUGUCAAUCAUAUCAUUUUGUUUUAUGAACUACUUUUAUGUGUAUGUAACUGGUACUUGUGGUGAACUCCUAUUUGCUAGUAGCUAUGUAAUAUGUUAACGAACUACUGUUUGCUAGUAGCUAGGCUACCAUCGUUAAUUUAGUGUUGCAUGUUAGAUCCAUAUGCUACCUGUUAGUUUUGUAUGAUGCCUACCUGGUAGUUUA